AGAAUUGCAGCAAGAAGUUCUACAAUUACUAUAAAAAAGAGGGGCAUUUCAUUAAAGAAUGUAACGUGCGGCCUCAGAAUAGACAAGGUCAAGGUUUUCAUACUGCUGUUCAAUCCAAUGCAAUUGCUAUCACCUCUACUCAUGCUCUAGGCAUGGAAUCUAUAGUUGGUUCUACACCGCUCUUAUGCUUGAGAUGUCCAACAGAUGAUUGUUCUCGCUUUCUCUGCCUUUCGCCUUCAAGAUAAAGAAAUUUACUCACCUUUCCUUAGUUGAAUCUACAACCUCCAAUCAUAUGAAUGGUAAUACAGAGGCUCUACAUAACAUUCAUAAGUAUAAAGGUGACCAACAUAUUUAAAUCGACAAUAAUAGUAAUCUUCUUAGGGAAAAUUGCGAUAACGGUCUCUAACCUUUUUAUUUUUUAUAAACUUUAUCCUAACCUUCAUUUUGUGUCAGUGGAGGUUCCUGGCCUUUCAUAAAUAUACACCUAAUGUCUAUAUGGGUGGAAACUACCCAAAAUACCGUCAGUUGACCGAAAAAAUUAAGGAAUCAACAUCCAAUAAAAUCGUUCAAAACAUCAUCCAAUUGUGGGUGGUAUUGGACCUCUCUCACCCCAAAAGCUAGCUCACAUCUUUACUUAUUACAAAGAAAACCAUGUAUUGCGAU
rnacentral:lncRNA from 1 species